UACAUGUGGGGCAAGCGUUGUUCGGAAUUACUGGGCAUAAAGGGUGCGUAGGCGGGUCUUUAAGUCAGGGGUGAAAUCCUGGAGCUCAACUCCAGAACUGCCUUUGAUACUGAAGAUCUUGAGUUCGGGAGAGGUGAGUGGAACUGCGAGUGUAGAGGUGAAAUUCGUAGAUAUUCGGAAGAACACCAGUGGCGAAGGCGGCUCACUGGACUGGUAUUGACGCUGAGGUGCGAAAGCGUGGGGAGCAAACAGGG
rnacentral:rRNA from 1 species